rnacentral:rRNA from 1 species
UACAAGGUGCUGCAUGGUUGUCGUCAGCUCGUGCCGUGAGGUGUCGGGUUAAGUCCCAUAACGAGCGCAACCCCUAUCAUUAGUUGCCAUCAGGUCAAGCUGGGGACUCUAAUGAAACUGCCUACGCAAGUAGUGAGGAAGUGGGGAUGACGUCAAAUCAGCACGGCCCUUACGUCCAGGGCUACACACGUGCUACAAUGGCCGGUACAAAGGGCAGCUACCUGGUGACAGGAUGCUAAUCUCAAAAGCCGGUCUCAGUUCGGAUCGGAGUCUGCAACCCGACUCCGUGAAGUUGGAUUCGCUAGUAAUCGCGCAUCAGCCAUGGCGCGGUGAAUACGUUCCCGGGCCUU